rfam:Oryza glumipatula chromosome 12, whole genome shotgun sequence.
UUUAAGUGCAACCAUGAUUUUCCGCGCUCAACUUUGAUCGUCUGUCUUAUUUGAAUUUUUUUAUAAUUAGUAUUUUUGUUGUUAUGAGAUGAUAAAACAUGAAUAGUACUUAACACGUGACUUACGUUUUUAAUUUUUUUUCAAAAAAUUUUCAAAUAAGACGGACGAUCAAAGUUAGACGCGGAAAGCCAUGGCUGCACUUAAA